UACGUAGGGUGCGAGCGUUGUCCGGAAUUAUUGGGCGUAAAGAGCUUGUAGGCGGUUUGUCGCGUCUGCUGUGAAAAUCCGGGGCUCAACCCCGGACUUGCAGUGGGUACGGGCAGACUAGAGUGUGGUAGGGGAGACUGGAAUUCCUGGUGUAGCGGUGAAAUGCGCAGAUAUCAGGAGGAACACCGAUGGCGAAGGCAGGUCUCUGGGCCACUACUGACGCUGAGACGCGAAAGCGUGGGGAGCAAACAGG
rnacentral:rRNA from 1 species